GCGGCCAUGGCGAGUGCGGCCGGAUCGCCGGCGGAGGCGGCGUCGAGAUGCCGGUCGAUCGUCUCGUCCGGGUCACGCC
rnacentral:tRNA from 1 species